rnacentral:misc_RNA from 1 species
GGCCUCAGGAAAUGGGGGAAACACUACAACUAAGUUUGGAAAACUGGGGUAUGGCAUGGAAAUUCGUUCACCAGGCCUGGCACUCCAACAUCUCUCACUGUUGUGACAAGCAAUUGUUACAGGCAGAUGGCAUGGAAUCUCACAGUAUGAUAAAAACCAUAAAAUAUCACUUGUAAAUGUUGCAAUAAAUAUCCUAUUAAUGUUUU